CAUAUUAAAGUUUAUUUAUGGAAUUCUUCUAUUACAAUGAAGAGGGCUCGCUAUUUGAGUAAUAUGAAAG
rnacentral:tRNA from 1 species